rnacentral:rRNA from 1 species
UACGUAGGGGGCUAGCGUUGUCCGGAUUUAUUGGGCGUAAAGAGCGUGUAGGCGGCCAGGUAGGUCCGGUGUGAAAACUCGAUGCUUAACCUCGAGAUGUCAUCGGAAACCAUCUGGCUAGAGUCCGGAAGAGGAGAGUGGAAUUCCUGGUGUAGCGGUGAAAUGCGCAGAUAUCAGGAAGAACACCAAUGGCGAAAGCAGCUCUCUGGGACGGUACUGACGCUGAGACGCGAAAGCGUGGGGAGCGAACAGG